rnacentral:rRNA from 1 species
GCUUGGUAACCCGGGGGNUCUCGGUUUGACAAGCCANACNAAUUACGCGCCCGGAUGGGUUCUCCGGAAGAUCCCCUUCGGACCCUUCCACCGGGGGGUCCNGNCCGCCUCGGGAACCGAAUUCCGUUUGGGGUUGGGGCUGCUGUUUUAGCUGCGGAGUGCUCCGCGACUCUUCUGACUCACNUAGCCUGCUGGCCGCUACUGCGCUUCGUCUGACCNAGCGGCACGGCAACUCCACGACCACGACUCUACGCUGGGUGUUUCNCAAGGCUCUGGGUUUUAGUUCGGGUUCNCUUCNGUNCCGUCCNUGUCCUGNCGCUUGNUUG